CGUACAGGUCUCCGUAGGUGAACCUGCGGAGGGAUCAUUACAAGAACGCCCGGGCUUCGGCCUGGUUAUUGAUAACCCUUUGUUGUCCGACUCUGUUGCCUCCGGGGCGACCCUGCCUUCGGGCGGGGGCUCCGGGUGGACACUUCAAACUCUUGCGUAACUUUGCAGUCUGAGUAAACUUAAUUAAUAAAUUAAAACUUUUAACAACGGAUCUCUUGGUUCUGGCAUCGAUGAAGAACGCAGCGAAAUGCGAUAAGUAAUGUGAAUUGCAGAAUUCAGUGAAUCAUCGAAUCUUUGAACGCACAUUGCGCCCCCUGGUAUUCCGGGGGGCAUGCCUGUUCGAGCGUCAUUUCACCACUCAAGCCUCGCUUGGUAUUGGGCAACGCGGUCCGCCGCGUGCCUCAAAUCGUCCGGCUGGGUCUUCUGUCCCCUAAGCGUUGUGGAAACUAUUCGCUAAAGGGUGUUCGGGAGGCUACGCCGUAAAACAACCCCAUUUCUAAGGUUGACCUCGGAUCAGGUAGGGAUACCCGCUGAACUUAAGCAU
rnacentral:rRNA from 1 species